AAAAUUGGGUUUGCGGAAACUUUCCAUGGAUACCAGCUUUGGGUAUCCCAGAGCCCGAAGCAUUUCAAGCAAAUCUGUACCAUCUGCAGUUCUAAAUCUAAGAGAAGCUGGCGAACAUCUAGGGCGUCCUCUAAGUGGACAUUCAUCAAGAUCCACCUUCGAUUGGACCUGGACGGGUAUCCCUGCAGGUUGGCGCCCGACAUUUCUACGAUUACUGAAACAAAUAAACGCCAAUUAUUAAAUGGGAUUAUUAGAAAAGUGUGCUAGUUUUCACAAUAUAUUAACACUUAUUAAAGACGCCAGUUUAUUAGGUUGUGCAUUAAUAAGCAAAUUCUGGUCUGAAAUUGGCACUAGAAGUCAU